CCCCACGGCCCGGCCUGAGCAUGGGAGCGCGGCGCCGCGGGAAUCGCCUUCUGGGUUCCGGCCGCGGUCGCUCUGUGGACCGACACUGGUGAACCCUGCCCUUGAGGAGGCUGCGGCCUCGUCGUCACCGCGAGAAGGGCCCCUGGACCCCGUGGUGCUUAGCGCCGCAGGCCAUUGGGAUCCAGCCCUUCUCUGAAUCCAGCGAAGGCGGCCUUUCCGCCCGGCGGUAGAGACGCUUCCCGCCCGCUCUGGAAUGAUAUUCCGGGAACACCUCGGUUGUUGAGCUAAAAUUCCUGUUGUCCGGGCUACUAAAUGGGAAUCAGUUUCACGCGGAACCUCUAAACUGUGUGACAGGUCACAUGGGGGAGGUGAAGGGGACCCAAGGUGCACGUCCUCCACAGCUCUCCUGAUGUAGGGUUUCUCUAGGGCUAAUGCCCAUGUCACCUCACAUCCCAGCGGUACCUCAGCUUCUCAUGCUUUGUAGCAAGAGAGGAUUGAUGUUGGAAUUCAGCAGAUUGGACACAACUGAUACAAUGUAGUCCGGUUAUGAGUAACUUGGCUAAAGAUUCCACAGCUUGAAUGGUAGAGCUAGAAAUCAAAGCCCUGAUUCAUCUUUCUGUUUCCAGAGUCAGUGCUUCUCUUACUAUGCUACUUUGAAGAUUGUUCACUCUGUUGAUAAAGCUUGUCAUUAUUUUCCUAGGAUUUUUGUGAAGGAGACGAUGUCAGGUUGCUUGCUUUACUAAACUAAUUUUGAUCAUUUCAUUUAGGUUAUAUGAGGCAGUAGGAUGGAUACAAGGAGGUUAAGAUGUGUUCCAUAUUAAUUCAAUGAAAUAUGCAUUUACUGAAUGCAACUGAACAUAAACCAUCAUAGUAGCUGUUAU